CCUUUUUUAUUUUUUAUUUUGAGACAGGGUCCCUGUAAGUUGCUGAGGGUGGCCUUAAAUUUGUGAUCCUCCUGCCUCAGCCUCCUGAGUCACUGGAAUUACAAGUGUGUGCCACCAUGCUUGACUGAAAAUUAGUUCUUGUUGCAUUUCUUCAAUAGAUCUUUGUUGAUGACUUCCAUAUAUGAGGAAUAAUGACAAGGAAAUCACAGCUGUAUAUGUUUUAACUUUAAAUAUUCAAACAAUCUUAGUAAACAAUGGGAUUGAUGAAAUGGGCUUUCAGUUGAUGACUUAAUUGCAGGUGGGUUCACCUUUGAUGUGAUAAUUUAAUUGUGGCAACUAGAUGAGGCUUUUAAGUUAUUCCUGGUGAUACUCCUUGGAAAAUGUGUUUGCAUAUUGGCUUGUUUUCUUUUAAAACUCUUUUAAUUGUGACUAUGUCCAAAAGCUUAGUACUUGGUGCAUGAUAUUUAAAGCUAGUAAAAUGGACUAGAAUUGAAUACAUUUAUGUCUGUGAGUCAGAACUGUCAUGCACUAAGUGAGGAGGAAUAAUUCUUUUGGAGGUGAUGAAUCUGAACUUUUUUCUCCUGCUUAGAGUAUUCAAAUGACUUUCUGUAGGAAAAAGAUUAAACACUUUAAGUUCAUGGCUUUUGUGCCUCACUAAAGGUAUAAUCUUAGUACUUUUCAUAGGUUCUGGAGCACUCUUCAUGCUAAUCUUGACUUAUUCUGUUAGAGGUUAUUCAAUUUGAAUUAAACUAAUGAAAUAUUAGCAUUUUAAUACUAGUGAAGUCAAAAUGUAAACAAAUUCCUCAACUUUGGGACUGACUACAUUUUGGGGUAGAGAAAUGACAGAGUAUGUGACCCAUCAAUAAUUGUAUCUCUGAUCAUAUGCAGAAGAGGCUGCAGGGUGUGAAAACGCGACAAAGAAAUGGGGUGAUGAAGUUGAGCGCCUAUCCACAGGUCUCACAAUGCAGAUCUGAAUAUGCUUUCUUUCCUGUGGAUUUAAAGUCAUUUGGUGAAAAUAUUCUUAUAACAGGAAGAAGACUCCAAGGAAGAUAAACAAAGAGACCAAUAAAUUAAUAAAAUGAUCCUGAAAAGUUGUAACAUAUCUAGUCCUCACAGAUUAACAGCUUAAAGUCAUAUCGCUAGGGGAGACCAAAAAACCCUGCAACCCAUAAAAUACAUUAAAAGAGGGUCCCAGCCUGAUAGUGUCACCAUUAGCAGCCUGAUAGAGACAGAUGCAAGUCUUAUCAGAGAAUAAUGCACCUUUGUCAUGGAGAAUUAAAUCUGAUCAAGACUCCAGAUUAACAACCACUUUGUAGAAAUUCAAGAAGACAGAAGUAUGGAAAAUGUCAGACAAACACUCUCAUCAGGAUACAGUCACAGACUGGGAAACUAGACAACUUGCUUUCUUCAAAAACAAUUGCGAAGAAAAUAAAAUCACACAGAUGAAGGAAGAACUCGCACAUUAAGACUUGAGAAGCAUAUCAACCAUUUGCGAUUUGUGGAUCUUAUUUGGGUAUUGCCUAAGCAAAACCAAAACCAAAACCCCUGUGUAUCAAUAAAAGAUAAUUGGCAAUGUGAA